rnacentral:piRNA from 1 species
UGAAAGGGAGACCCAUCCAUUCA